rnacentral:rRNA from 1 species
AUUGAACGCUGGCGGCAGGCCUAACACAUGCAAGUCGAACGGUAACAGGAAGACGCUUGCUUCUUUGCUGACGAGUGGCGGACGGGUGAGUAAUGUCUGGGAAACUGCCUGAUGGAGGGGGAUAACUCCUGGAAACGGUAGCUAAUACCGCAUAACGUCGCAAGACCAAGGAGGGGGACUUUCGGGCCCCUUGCCAUCGGAUGUGCCCAGAUGGGAUUGGCUAUUAGGUGGGGUAACGGCUCACCUAGGCGACGAUCCCUAGCUGGUCUGAGAGGAUGACCAGCCACACUGGAACUGAGACACGGUCCAGACUCCUACGGGAGGCAGCAGUGGGGAAUAUUGCACAAUGGGCGCAAGCCUGAUGCAGCCAUGCCGCGUGUAUGAAGAAGGCCUUCGGGUUGUAAAGUACUUUCAGCGGGGAGGGAGGGAGUAAAGUUAAUACCUUUGCUCAUUGACGUUACCCGCAGAAGAAGCACCGGCUAACUCCGUG